rfam:Globodera pallida, Lindley, WGS project CBXT01000000 data, contig: pathogens_Gpal_scaffold_211_contig_7
GGGUAGUUGGUCUAGUGGUAUGAUUCUCGCUUAGGGUGCGAGAGGUCCUGGGUUCAAUUCCCAGACUACCCC